UCUGAUCUUAUAAGAUUUUUGUGAAGUAAAGUCAGUGUAUUGUUUACUGCCAGAUACAACCACAAAAGAAACUCACAAGUCAUAAAUACCAAUGAUGCUACAAAAGUUUCAGUAUGUGGGCUUCUGGUUAUAUUUUAAGGAGAAACUAAUAAAUCUGAAUAAAGCAAGCUCAAGUAAAUAUUAAUUAUUUACAAACUGUGAUAACUUUUUCUAAAUGUAUCCCUUCCUAUUACAAUCAUGUCAACUUCUUCACCAAUAUUGAAGGAGAGAUUGCUAUCAUUUGAAACUUCCCUUGUGGCUAAACAACAUUAUUAUUACCAUUACUCCUAAAAUUUUGAGGAGCAUUGCCAAUUAGAGUAUCUUAGCAUAUAUAAAUUAGUAACAAGGUUGAAGCAAGACAGUGCUGUAGAAUUCCAUAGCUUUCAUAAUUCAUAAAAUAAUUCUUCUUGAAACUACCCGUGUAGUUGUACAUAUUAUUGAUAGCGUUUCUUCUAGACUCUUGAAGAGCACUACAAAAGGAGGUAAAUUUCAGGCCUAAAUGUUCAAGCAAGGCAUUUUCAUAAAACUCACGUUAACUAAUUCACAAAUCUAUAAGAUAGUUUCUAUGAAGAAACUCAGAAAAAUGCUGGAUGAAAGAAAUAACAAGAGAUUAAUAGUUUAGUAGUUUACGCUUAUUCCGUGCCAUGCCAUUUCUAACAUGUGCCAUUAGCUGUGGUGAUUGAACAUUCUGAGUGGAUCACAAGGAAAUAAGAUAUUCAUCUCAUUUGACUCUAUAUGGACAAAAAUGUUAGAAGUACCAUCUUGAAGCUUCUUAAGUCCAAGGUUCGGCCUCUAAUCAUUGUCAAGGUUUCGUUCGCCAGAAGUUUGAAUUUAUUUUAUAUUCUGCAACCAUUAAAUGUGAAGAUU
rnacentral:lncRNA from 1 species